rnacentral:rRNA from 1 species
UACGGAGGGUGCAAGCGUUAUCCGGAAUUACUGGGUUUAAAGGGUGCGUAGGCGGCUUGAUAAGUCAGAGGUGAAAGCCUAUCGCUUAACGAUAGAAUUGCCUUUGAUACUGUAAAGCUUGAAAGGGGUUGAGGUCAGCAGAAUGUGGCAUGUAGCGGUGAAAUGCAUAGAGAUGCCAGAGAACACCGAUUGCGAAGGCAGCUGGCUGGGCCUACUUCGACGAUGAGGCACGAAAGCGUGGGGAGCGAACAGG